CAGAGAGCCCUGCAGUUGUCUUUGGCAGAAUACAGGAGGGGUUUACCAUUGCCUCCUACCCACCAGGAAAAAAAACAGCAAGCAAAAAGAGUGAAGCAUGAAGAGAGAGUUAGAAGUGCGGAGAGAGGAGGUCCGGUCUACGUAGAAGGAAAGUGAUCUGAGAACAUUGAGAGUGUGGAGACAACGUUCGGCCUCAGUCGACGGUUCAGAAAAGAACGCAGGUAAGGAGAUUGGUUGGGAGCGAUGAAACAAAGUGACUACCUUCGGCAGGAAGGUAAUGUCCAGCCUAAGAACAACCUUUUCUUUGUGAAAAACCAGGUAAGGCGGGUCAAAAAUAAAUAAAUAAAUAAACAAACAAAUAAAUAAAUAAAGGCGGGUCAGUGCCUGAGUUCACUGACCCACCUGGCAGAAGUGAUGGCCAUGAGGAAAGCUACUUUACAGGAAAGUAGGUCCAGAGAAAUUGUAGCCAUGGGUUUGAAGGAAGGGUGCAUGAGAGAGGAGAGGACCAAGGUCAGGUCCCAUGUGGGUGCCAUGAUCGGAGGGUCCGGAUAGAGGUGAGUGAGUCCUUUAAGGAAAGGUUUGACCGUAGGGUGUUGGAACCAUGAUGGCGUAGACGGCGGGGAGUUAGCCACUAUGGCUGUGAGAUGAACGCGCAAGGAAGGUAUCUUAAGACCGGCCUCCUUGAGGGAGAGUAAGUAUGAGCAAAUAUGUUCCACAGAGACGGAGUGUGAGGAGAUGUCUCUGUCCUUCAGAAAGUUCUGAAAACGUGUCCAUUUAUGAGAAUAGGAGGCAACGGUAGCAGGUUUACAUGAGGCAUUGACUAUCCUCUGUAGGUUUACGGGCAGGUUGGGAUUAUGUGCCAAGCCGUGAGAUGGAGAUGCUGUAGGUCUUGAUGCAGGAGGCGACCGCCCUGGGGGGAGAGGAGGUGAGGGGUGUGUGGUAGGUGGUGGUAGUGAUGGCUGGAGAGGCAGAGGAGGCGGGGGAACCAGGGCCUCCUGGGCCACCAUGGGGCAAUGAGUAUGCAAUGCAGUCGGUCCUAGGAGAUUUUCUGAAGGACUUGAGGAAGUAGAUGAAUUGGAGGAAAAGCAUAGACUAGAUGUCCCGCCCAGUUCAAGGCAAACGCGUCCCCGAGGGAGUUGGGUCCGAUCCCGGACCUGGAGCAAUACAGGUGGCAUUGCGGAUUCAUUUCCAAUGCGAAGAGGUCUAUUUCUGGGAGGAACCAGCGGCAGAAGAGGGAGUGGCGUGUGGGGGGAUGUAGUUGCCAACUUGCCAUUCGUGUGACGUUGACUGACUCCUACUCAACCUGUCCGCCGUGACAUUGUUCUGUCCCUGAAUAUGGACCGCCAGGGGGAUGACGCCGUGCCGAAUGCACCAGAACCACAUUUCCAUGGCUAGGAAUAGGAGGGAGCUGGAGGAGGUGCCGCCCUGCCUGUUCAGCUAGGCCUUGGCGGUAGUAUUGUCCGUUUGGACCAGAAUGUGAGAGUCCCAUAUCGGGGGAGGAAAGCUCUUAGAGCCUUGAAAAUGGUCAGCAGUUUGAGGUAGUUGAUAUGGUGAGCGGCUUUGGUCGGGGACCAGAUGCCAUGGAUGUUGUGGCUGUUGGCGUGGGCACCCCAGCUGUCCAUGGAUGCAUCCGUAGUGAGCAGAAGGGCAUGACGCGGUGUUUGGAAGGGGGAGCCGAUGCUGAGGUUGGCGGAGUCUGUCUACCACAGAAGAGAACGUAGGACUUGAGGUGGGAGUAUAAGGGUGCGGGUGAGGGAAGCUUCGUGUGGGGAGAACACAGAGAGGAACCAAUGUUGCAGAGUCCUGGCACGCAGACGAGUGUGAGGGAGGACGUAGGUGGUGGAGGCCAUGUGGCCCAAUAGGCACUGGAUCGUUCAAGCUGGCUGACACAGGUGGUAGAGAAGGUGGGAUGACAAGUCCAGGAUAGCCUGGAUCCUGCGCUGAGGUAAGAUCUUUGACUGGAUGGAGUCGAAGAUGAUCCCCAAAAAUCUAUGGUUCUAGAAGGGUUGAGUUUCAACUUUUCGUAAUUCACCUGGAGCCCCAGGUUGGAAACGAGGUUGAUGACCGUGUGGAGAUCCCUCAGUAGGGAUUGUGGGUUGUUGGCUACCACAAGCCAGUCAUCAAGAUAUGGAAAAAUUUGAAUGUUUUUUGUUGCAGGGCCACCGCCACUGGAGCCAUGCAUUUGGUGAACACCCGCGGAGCAGAUGCCAGCCCGAAGGGAAGGGCGCGGAAAUGGGAUGAGCCAUCAAAGGGAAAAUCUUCCACCCUGGACCUAGCGUCGGGCAUAAGGCCAGAAGAUCGGAGCCAGGCGUGUUGACAAAGAACAACGGAGGUUGCCAUCACCUUAGCCGCGCCUUCUGUUAGGUGACGGAUUGCAUGGAGUUCCUGUUUUGAAACCUGCGUGGAUUCAUGCAGGAAGACUUUAGCAGGGCCCUGCUGUUCUUCAGGCAAAUGAUCUAAGAAGGGGGCAACAUGGUCCCACAGAAAGGACUGGUAUCUGGCGUAGUAGGCCUGAUAAUUUGUAAUUCUGCUCA